CCUACGGGUGGCAGCAGUGAGGAAUAUUGGUCAAUGGGAGAGAUCCUGAACCAGCCAAGCCGCGUGAGGGAAGACGGCCCUAUGGGUUGUAAACCUCUUUUGUCGGAGAACAAAACCCGGGACGUGUCCCGGACUGCGUGUAUCCGAAGAAAAAGCAUCGGCUAACUCCGUGCCAGCAGCCGCGGUAAUACGGAGGAUGCGAGCGUUAUCCGGAUUUAUUGGGUUUAAAGGGUGCGUAGGCGGUCCGUUAAGUCAGCGGUAAAAUUGCGGGGCUCAACCCCGUCGAGCCGUUGAAACUGGCGGACUUGAGUGGGCGAGAAGUACGCGGAAUGCGGGGUGGAGCGGGGAAAUGCAUAGAGAUCGCGAAGAACUCGGAUUGCGAAGGCAGCAUACCGGCGCCAGACUGACGCUGAAGCACGAAAGCGUGGGUAUCGAACAGGAUUAGAUACCCUAGUAGUC
rnacentral:rRNA from 1 species